rnacentral:piRNA from 1 species
UUCAAUUUGUAGACGGGUGGGGAGUUCCCA